CCCAUUCCUGCCCUGGGUGCCUGCACAGGGCUGGGAGCUCAGGGCUGGAGUGCAGCCCAGUCCAUCAAGGAUUCAGCCACAGAAGGAAAAGGCAGGAAAAACUCCACAGGAGCAAAAACCAGCGGAGGAGUGAGCAGGAAAACAGAGUCCCUUAAUUGAGCUGGGGGAGAAGAGGGAGGAGAGACGAUUACAAGGCUUGUGGAUCUUUGUCUACGAGAGAGCUGCCUUCCUGAGACCCGGCUCGGUGGCACAGAAGCAUCCAAGUGAUGGGAGAGGAGUCAAGAGGAGAUUACUGAAAGAAAAAGGCCUCCAGGUGCUGCAGUAAAGCUCCAGGUGCCUCUCUUCUCCCCACACCGAUGCUGUUUCAGGAGGGACGAGGAAUCACGUGCACAUGGAGAUGCCAUGUGUGCCAGGGCAAGAUUUACAGAGAAGAAGGUGGCACAAGUGGGAUCAGCACUUCAGUUUACUGCACAAACCAGGAAGCUGUCCUUCACUGUGCCCAGCUGGGAACACACAGGCUCCCUGAAUCCAUCCAGUGUUGCAGGCUCAAGAAAGCAUAAAAAGGCAUAAGAAAAGCUCUUUUAACUGACUCCAUCCUGAUGUCUCCUUUCCUGACCCACUCAUCUUUGUUGCUUUGUCCUAAUGGCUUUAAACUGGCAGACA